rnacentral:rRNA from 1 species
UACGAAGGGGGCUAGCGUUGUUCGGAAUUACUGAGCGUAAGGCGCACGUGGGCGGAUAUUUAAGUUAGGGGUGAAAUCCCAGGGCUCAACCCUGGAACUGCCUCUAAUACUGGGUAUCUCGAGUCCGAGAGAGGUGAGUGGAAUUCCGAGUGUAGAGGUGAAAUUCGUAGAUAUUCGGAGGAACACCAGUGGCGAAGGCGGCUCACUGGCUCGGUACUGACGCUGAGGUGCGAAAGCGUGGGGAGCAAACAGG